GGCUGUGAGCACAAUUUGGCUACAAAUAUGUCACCUCACUAAUCUCCAGGGUUGAUUCAGCUGAUCUGAUUGGCUAGGCAAGGGUACCUUAUCUCCCUUUUCAUUGCAAAUUUCUCCCUCCCAAAAGCUGAAAUGUUUUGACAAGGACAAGGAUAACUUCCUCAGGCAGAGAGUGAAUGUGCUUUUUAAUUAUUAUUAUUAAUAGCCCAGCUGCUAAUCAAAGAGUCGGCAGUUCAAAUACACUAGCCACUCCCUGGAAACCUAUGUGGCAGUUCUA
rnacentral:snRNA from 1 species